GACCCUAUGCGGCUUCUACUGUAGUUAGUUAUCACAUUCUCAUAAACUUUGUGUAGCGUAUAAGGUUAAUGUUUGUUUUAAAAACAAAAAGUCGAUAGACACAGUUGAAACACCUUUCUUGGUUUUAUGUUAAUGUUCACCUAAUCUUUUAUGGUUAGGGAUAAAUGACUAAUUGGCAGUUUGUCUGGGGCGGACGUCUUUAAUAGAGUAUCAGAGACAUCCACAAGGUAUGUCUUAAAUUGGAUGGAGACCAAGCAAGCCAUGAACGGUAUAAUAAGGUAUAAUGACUUAAGCAUGCUUAACUGAGAGACCUAUAAGUCAAACAGAUACGUAAGUAGGGCAUAAUGAUCCGGCGGUA
rnacentral:rRNA from 1 species